rnacentral:rRNA from 1 species
AUUGAACGCUGGCGGCAGGCCUAACACAUGCAAGUCGAACGAGUGGCGGACGGGUGAGGAAUGUCUGGGAAACUGCCUGAUGGAGGGGGAUAAAUACUGGAAACGGUAGCUAAUACCGCAUACCAUCAGAUGUGCCGAGAUGGGAUUAGCUAGUAGGUGGGGUAAAGGCGCACCUAGGCGACGAUCCCUAGCUGGUCUGAGAGGAUGACCAGCCACACUGGAACUGAGACACGGUCCAGACUCCUACGGGAGGCAGCAGUGGGGAAUAUUGCACAAUGGGCGCAAGCCUGAUGCAGCCAUGCCGCGUGUAUGAAGAAGGCCUUCGGGUUGUAAAGUACUUUCAGCGGGGAGGCGUUACCCGCAGAAGAAGCACCGGCUAACUCCGUGCCAGCCGCCGCGGUAAUUC